UAUUCAUAUAGUUUAUUUAAAACAUUUUAUUUUCAUUAAAAAAAAGAUUUUUCUAUUGAAU
rnacentral:tRNA from 1 species